UACGUAGGUGGCAAGCGUUGUCCGGAUUUAUUGGGUUUAAAGGGUGCGUAGGCGGCCCUGUAAGUCAGUGCUGAAAUACCCCGGCUUAACCGGGGGGGUGGCAUUGAUACUGCAGGGCUUGAGUACAGAUGAGGUAGGCGGAAUUGACGGUGUAGCGGUGAAAUGCAUAGAUAUCGUCAAGAACACCGGAUAGCGAAGGCAGCUUACUGGGCUGUAACUGACGCUGAUGCACGAAAGUGUGGGGAUCAAACAGG
rnacentral:rRNA from 1 species